GGGCUUGUAGCUCAGCUGGGAGAGCGCCGCGUUCGCAACGCGGAGGUCGAGAGUUCGAACCUCUUCAGGUCCACCA
rnacentral:tRNA from 1 species